rnacentral:lncRNA from 1 species
GUGUCCUGCCCAGCUCGGUGCUUUCGGGGUCCCCUACCCCGCUCCCGAGGCGGCCGCAGGGAAUCCGCCGUCCUGCCUGUGCGGAGGCUUUGCUGAGGAGCGGUCCCGCACGGAGGAGCUCUGCCCCGGCGCGGACGCACGCGGAGAAGGGGAUUUGCUUUUCCUAGAACCCAGCGCCGCGCGCGUUGGAGGAACUUGGCGAUUAGAGGAGCAGCAGGACGGCGCGACGGCGUCGCCAAGGCGAGCGUGAGCCAUAAGCUCAUUAAGGGGCUUGGCCUCUGCCUGCCCAGGUUGGGACGCUGCAGUCCCCGGUGACCGGGACACUGCGGCGCGGCGCUGGCGGGGCUCUGCCUCCCCCGGACGCCCCAACCAUGCUGGCGACCCUGAUGACAGCGCUGUUCUUCGCGCUGGGGAGCCGCCUGUGCCCCGAGGAGCCGCUGCCGUACCUCGUGUACCAGCCCCUGCCCUGGCAGAUCCAGUGUGUGUCGCAGAGCCGCCGCACCAGCCGCGACAGCGAGAAAGGCAGGAGCUCUCGGCAGAACAGCAUCUACUCCAUUUCUGGAGAGAAAGGUGAGUAUGGAGUAGGGGAAGCUCCUGACUGUGACCGUGGGGUGCAGUGGGAGAGGCACUGCAGUACCCAGACCCCUCUUGGCCUCUUUCUUCUUCCAAAAAAACCUCUCUGACAGCAUUAAGGGGUAUUUUAGAAGUCAGCCUUGGGAGAGGGAAGCCUGCUCAGCUUGCUCUCCAGCCUGCUGGCUGUACUGUGUUUCGGGUUGUUUCCCCUCGGGGGGGGGGGGGGCCCUUGUUG